AGUAUCCUGGUAAUGAAGGCAGAGUAGAGUUCAAUGAGGAAACCUACAGUCUGACACUGAAGAACUUACAGAAGACUGAUAGUGGACUGUAUGAAGUAAGAGCAUCUGGUGAUGAGGUCAGAGUUGUUGCUGAGUACAGACUCUCUGUGUUGGGUAAGUCUUAUAGAAAAUCAGUCAGUGAGAGGAAACAUGCAGUCCUGACACAACACUGCUGUUAUUAAGAUGCUGUAAUUUUCUCUAUUCUUUAUUUAAUCUUGUGCAUACAUGAAGUGUGCUGAGACAAAGUCAGUACAUUUAUUAUAUAAUGGAGAUUAUACAACAUAAUAAUAAUAAUCUGUGUAUCUGCAUACGUUUUUUGCCUCCUUUUAGUCAGGACCCCUACAGUACCACCACAGAGCAGGUAUUCUUUGGGUGGUGGAUCAUUUUCAUCACUGCACUGACGUGGUGGUGGUGUGUUAGUGUGUGUUGUGCUGGUACGAGUGGAUCAGACACAGCAAUGCUGCUGGAUAGGGGCUUAAACAUCAUUAAGCAAGAUAAAGUAAUUUAAGAUAUGUAGUGGCACCCUCUGCUGGUUGUCCUGUGUGAUUACUGAAGACUGUGCUUUAUUCCAUCAUUCUGAUUCUCCUCAUGUUAACAACAGUCAUCAUCCACAUCAGAAAGAGAUCAAAUCAUCUUAAAAAACAUAUAUGGCCCUUUAUUAUUGAACGCAAUUCUGUGAAAAAACAUCAAAAUAAAAAGAUGGCAAGCCCGAAAUAUAAUGGCUCUUCCUGCUGGGUUUAGGUCAGAGUCCAGAUUUAAGCCUUUUAGAGGAUAUUUGGUCUCACAUUAAAUACACACACACACUCUAUCUAUGCCGUUUAUUCUCCCAGUGGUGCUGGAGCCCAUCCCAGCAUCCAUUGGGCAGAAAGCAGAAAACACCCUGGACAGGCCGCCAGUCCAUCAUGGGCACAUAAAGAGACAAUAUGUGAAAUGGUAAUGACAUCCUAACAGGAUACAAAUGUGAGGAUAAAUAAAAUUGUAAAUAAUCUUUAUUGUUGAGGUGCUUGAAUGCUUGUGUGCCGAUGUUUGCAAUCGAUUUGUUGACAGAAACCUGAAUUUGCAUGACAGAAAUGUUUUAAUCAGAGCAUUCUAUUUAUCUGUCCUACAUGGAUUAUUCAUACUAAUAAAGUCAUUUCAUUUCAAUCUUU